rnacentral:tRNA from 2 species
GCCCGAAUGGCGGAAUUGGCAGACGCGCUACAUUCAGGUUGUAGUGUCCUACGGACGUGCAGGUUCAACUCCUGUUUCGGGCA